GCAAAACCAGCUGUGAGAUGCUGGAUGGCUUAGGAAAAGAAGAAGACCCUUAUUCAUCGAGACCGCAUGUCAGGACUGAACACCCUAUUCCUCAUGAUGCAGGAGGAGAGCCUGAAUUAACAUUUAGCAGGGACUUGUUUACUGCAACAAUAUGUGAGAGGAUUAAAGAAGAACGAGAGGUCCACAUGAUUCAUUUCCAGAAACCAGAUGAAAUUAUGGAACACAGUGGUCUGAGAAAAGUAUGAUUUUUCCAAGUGAAGAUAGCUCUUUGGAGAAAGGAGAAAACUUUAUUGGCUACUAAGAUUUUUAAGUUAGGAAAAUACAGAAGCACAAUUUCCUUUG